rnacentral:rRNA from 1 species
UACGUAGGGUGCAAGCGUUGUCCGGAAUUAUUGGGCGUAAAGAGCGUGUAGGCGGCCCGAUUAGUCCGCUGUGAAAGUCCAGGGCUCAACCCUGGAAUGCCGGUGGAUACUGUCGGGCUAGAGUCCGGAAGGGGCGAGUGGAAUUCCUGGUGUAGCGGUGAAAUGCGCAGAUAUCAGGAGGAACACCGGUGGCGAAGGCGGCAUCCUGGACCGACAUUGACGCUGAUCCGCGAAAGCCAGGGGAGCAAACGGG